rnacentral:rRNA from 1 species
UACGAGGGGGGCAAGCGUUGUUCGGAAUUAUUGGGCGUAAAGGGCGCGUAGGCGGUGCGGUAAGUCACCUGUGAAACCUCUAGGCUUAACCUAGAGCCUGCAGGCGAAACUGCCGUGCUUGAGGGUGGGAGAGGUGCGUGGAAUUCCCGGUGUAGCGGUGAAAUGCGUAGAUAUAGGGAGGAACACCUGUGGCGAAAGCGGCGCACUGGACAACAUCUGACGCUGAGGCGCGAAAGCUAGGGGAGCAAACAGG